rnacentral:rRNA from 1 species
UUGUCUUUUAAAUAAAGACCAGUAUGAAUGGCAAGACGAAAGUUCAACUGUCUCCCUAAAUUAAUCAAUGAAAUUGAUCUUCCCGUGCAGAAGCGGGAAUAAAACUAUAAGACGAGAAGACCCUAUGGAGCUUUAAAUAUAUGAUCAACUGUAUAAUAUAAAAUUCAAUAGAUUAAGCAUUAAAUAAAACAUUGUGAUCAAAAUUUUAGGUUGGGGCGACCACGGAGAAAAACAAAACCUCCGAGAUGAAAAGAGUAUCUUAAUUUAUGAACUACAGUUCUAAUAAAUAAAAUAUUUAACAUAAUUGAUCCAAUUUAUUGAUCAACGAACUAAGUUACCCUAGGGAUAACAGCGCAAUCCUUUCCAAGAGUCCCUAUCGACGAAUGGGUUUACGACCUCGAUGUUGGAUCAGGACACCCCAAUGGUGCAGCCGCUAUUAAAGGUUCGUUUGUUCAACGAUUAAAGUCCUA